rnacentral:rRNA from 1 species
GACGAACGCUGGCGGCGUGCCUAAUACAUGCAAGUCGAACGCUUCUUUCCUCCCGAGUGCUUGUACUCAAUUGGAAAGAGGAGUGGCGGACGGGUGAGUAACACGUGGGUAACCUACCCAUCAGAGGGGGAUAACACUUGGAAACAGGUGCUAAUACCGCAUAACAGUUUAUGCCGCAUGGCAUAAGAGUGAAAGGCGCUUUCGGGUGUCGCUGAUGGAUGGACCCGCGGUGCAUUAGCUAGUUGGUGAGGUAACGGCUCACCAAGGCCACGAUGCAUAGCCGACCUGAGAGGGUGAUCGGCCACACUGGGACUGAGACACGGCCCAGACUCCUACGGGAGGCAGCAGUAGGGAAUCUUCGGCAAUGGACGAAAGUCUGACCGAGCAACGCCGCGUGAGUGAAGAAGGUUUUCGGAUCGUAAAACUCUGUUGUUAGAGAAGAACAAGGACGUUAGUAACUGAACGUCCCCUGACGGUAUCUAACCAGAAAGCCACGGCUAACUACGUG